UACGAGGGGGCGAGCGUUGUUCGGAAUUAUUGGGCGUAAAGGGUGCGUAGGCGGCCUGACAAGUCUGAUGUGAAAUCCCUGGGCUCAACCCAGGGCCUGCAUCGGAAACUGUCGGGCUUGAGUAUGGGAGAGGUGAGUGGAAUUUCCGGUGUAGCGGUGAAAUGCGUAGAUAUCAGGAGGAACACCUGUGGCGAAAGCGGCGCACUGGACCACAACUGACGCUGAGGCGCGAAAGCUAGGGAGCAAACAGG
rnacentral:rRNA from 1 species